AUGCAUAAGCUCGUAAACGUUCAUUAUUUGGACAAGUCGACAUUUAUGCUUGGAAAUGACGAUGAAGGGGAAGAGGCUAUGGUUUUUGACACAAGUCCAAGCUUUGAUGAUCUUGUAGUUAAAGUGAGAAGCGUCUUACAUUGGAAUGACCCAAAUGCCGAGGUUAAGCUUAUUGGGAGGUAUGACGUUGGAUUGGGAGUAAAGUCCCGUAAGAGUAUGCCCAUCACCUCCCAAUUGCAUUGGAAUGUGUACAAGGAAAAAGUAGACGCAUCACAAGACAAGUCUCUUGAGAUCUUUGUCACAAAGGUUGAUCCUCCUCCUCCUUUGCAAAUUGAUCUCAACCGCAAUGCAUCCUCCCCCAUACAUGAUGAUAGUGCCGAGGUGUAUGUCCCCAAUUGUUCUAGCCAACCACCAAGUAGCCAACCC
rnacentral:rRNA from 1 species